UAGUCCACACCGUAAACGCUGUCUACUAGCUGUUUGUGAGUUUAACUCGUGAGUAGCGAAGCUAACGCGCUAAGUAGACCGCCUGGGGAGUACGGUCGCAAGAUUAAAACUCAAAUGAAUUGACGGGGGCCCGCACAAGCGGUGGAGCAUGUGGUUUAAUUCGAUGCAACGCGAAGAACCUUACCUACACUUGACAUUCAGCGAACUUACCAGAGAUGGUUUGGUGCCUUCGGGAACGCUGGGACAGGUGCUGCAUGGCUGUCGUCAGCUCGUGUCGUGAGGUGUUGGGUUAAGUCCCGCAACGAGCGCAACCCCUACUAUUAGUUGCCAGCGAGUAAUGUCGGGGACUCUAAUGGGACUGCCGGUGCAAACCGAGAGGGAAGGUGGGGACGACGUCAAGGUCAUCAUGGCCCUUACGCCCAGGGGCUACACACGUGCUACAAUGGGCGCAUAC
rnacentral:rRNA from 1 species